AGUCGAACGAGAGAGAGGAAGCUUGCUUCCUCAAUCGAGUGGCGAACGGGUGAGUAACGCGUGAGGAACCUGCCUCAAAGAGGGGGACAACAGUUGGAAACGACUGCUAAUACCGCAUAAGCCCACGGGUCGGCAUCGACCAGAGGGAAAAGGAGCAAUCCGCUUUGAGAUGGCCUCGCGUCCGAUUAGCUAGUUGGUGAGGUAACGGCCCACCAAGGCAACGAUCGGUAGCCGGACUGAGAGGUUGAACGGCCACAUUGGGACUGAGACACGGCCCAGACUCCUACGGGAGGCAGCAGUGGGGAAUAUUGCACAAUGGGGGAAACCCUGAUGCAGCGACGCCGCGUGGAGGAAGAAGGUCUUCGGAUUGUAAACUCCUGUUGUUGAGGAAGAUAAUGACGGUACUCAACAAGGAAGUGACGGCUAACUACGUGCCAGCAGCCGCGGUAAAACGUAGGUCACAAGCGCUGUCCGGAAUUACUGGGUGUAAAGGGAGCGCAGGCGGGAAGACAAGUUGGAAGUGAAAUCUAUGGGCUCAACCCAUAAACUGCUUUCAAAACUGUUUUUCUUGAGUAGUGCAGAGGUAGGCGGAAUUCCCGGUGUAGCGGUGGAAUGCGUAGAUAUCGGGAGGAACACCAGUGGCGAAGGCGGCCUACUGGGCACCAACUGACGCUGAGGCUCGAAAGUGUGGGUAGCAAACAGGAUUAGAUACCCUGGUAGUCCACACCGUAAACGAUGAUUACUAGGUG
rnacentral:rRNA from 1 species